CUCCUCUACACCAGCACCACCUAUUCUUCCACCUACUCCUGACAUACUCUCUGAUUCAGCUCGCCAGACCUCUGCUGGACCUCUGCUAAACCUGAGGCAUACUGAAUAUCCCUGUUUUACCACUGCACCACCUGCCCCCAUUACGACACUUGGCAUGCCUUCCAGUCCUCUUCACUUCUCCAUUAGACAUUCUGAACACGGCCGUUACACAGCUCCAGUGCAUGCAGUUACCACCCCCAUCUCUCACAUGCCCUCAAGCUCUAUGAGCCAGGUCUCUGCUACACCUCUUUCUGAAGAACAUCAAGACCAUUCAUUUAAGCCCCGGUUUAGACUGGGGAGGACAGGCACUGGACCUAUUCCUUGCUCUGCCGCUCAACUGCACAUCCUAACACUGUUGGAACAUAUCAAGGAACAGCAGAUGCAGCUUGCUGCUACCGUUAAUAAUCCUGCUGCACGUAUGGCGACAGACACUGCUGUGGCUGAAAUGCAUCCCAAUAUCAGUUUGCCACUGGCCACCAUGUCUGAAGUUGAGGAGUUGGAGGACUGGCUUAAAGAUUCAAGGA